rnacentral:ncRNA from 1 species
GGGCGAUCACUCCACAAUAUGAGCGUCCGUACAUAAAAGAAGGAGGAUUAUUACCGUCAGCUUGCGGUGCGGCAGAGUGGAGACCUGUCGUAAUGCGGUGCAUCAUAUAUAAGGAUGCCGCGAGGCGGAUCGGAGGAGUCCCUUCCGUCAGAGCACUGUUAAAUGUC